rnacentral:rRNA from 1 species
AGCGAACGCUGGUGGCAGGCUUAACACAUGCAAGUCGAGCGGGCAUCCUUGUGGUGUCCGCGGCAGACGGGUGAGUAACGCGUGGGAACGUGCCCUUCGGUUCGGAAUAACUCAGGGAAACUUGAGCUAAUACCGGAUACGUGCGAGAGCAGAAAGGUUUAUCUGCCGAAGGAUCGGCCCGCGUCUGAUUAGCUAGUUGGUGAGGUUAUGGCUCACCAAGGCGACGAUCAGUAGCUGGUCUGAGAGGAUGAUCAGCCACACUGGGACUGAGACACGGCCCAGACUCCUACGGGAGGCAGCAGUGGGGAAUAUUGGACAAUGGGGGCAACCCUGAUCCAGCCAUGCCGCGUGAGUGAUGACGGCCUUAGGGUUGUAAAGCUCUUUUCUCCGGGACGAUAAUGACGGUACCGGAGGAAUAAGCCCCGGCUAACUUCGUG